UGAGCAACCUGCCCUUAACUCUGGGAUAAGCCUGGGAAACUGGGUCUAAUACCGGAUAUGACUCCUCAUCGCAUGGUGGGGGGUGGAAAGCUUUAUUGUGGUUUUGGAUGGACUCGCGGCCUAUCAGCUUGUUGGUGAGGUAAUGGCUCACCAAGGCGACGACGGGUAGCCGGCCUGAGAGGGUGACCGGCCACACUGGGACUGAGACACGGCCCAGACUCCGUACGGGAGGCAG
rnacentral:rRNA from 1 species